AUGAGCCGGAGGGGAAGGGUCGUGGAUGUGUGCUCAACAGGCAGGGACACUUCUGCUCCAGCUUGUGAUGCACAUGCUUUGCCUGAUUUCUUCUGCUCCCUGUUGCAGGAAGCUCUCCAUGGACCGUGUGUGUUCUUGUCUGUCCUGCAUCUCCACUUCCAUUCCCUGGCUUUCCUAUCUGCUGUGCUGACGAAAUGCAUUGCCUCUGUUCCAUUUGAAUGGAGAGCUUUGACAAACGAUGGAUGCAACUGGGCUCCAGGCCUGAGAUUCCAUGGAGAUUGCCUUCCAAAUUCCAAAAUUCGUCUCCAGAAUUGUGGCUUGGCAGGAAAACUUACGAACAGUCUUCAUGUGUAGGUUCUUUGAUUUUGGGUAGAUUUUAAUAUUUUAGGUAUAGAGACAACCUGAAAUUUUAUAAAAUAGCUGUCCUCAAAUGCUAAGUUUUAAGCCUUUUUUUCUUUAACUAUAAAGGGGGCAAAAUGGUAAAGAUAGAGCUACUAAACUCUCUCAUCCGUACCCCCCUGAAAAAGUUUUUUUCCUCCCUACUUUGGUUUUCUGUAUGAUUUAUUUUCAGCAUCUAUCCCUCCCACCAAGGCAGAGGGGGUCAGUUUAGAUUUUUAAUUAAGUUGUGAUAAUCUUUUAGCUUAAUUAUAUAUUAUACAUUAUAAUAUAUUACUAUGUUUGUUUAUAACUGAAAUAAUUAUUUGUCAAGACUUUUGUGAGUACAAGAAAAACCUUGGAAGAAGAAAAAAAACAGCUCUAGGGGAAAUGUUUUAAGAUGGUACAUUUCUUAACAAAGAGAUGUGUCAAAUUUUUUUUUUUUUUGUAGUAUCCGUGUCAAUUUAAUGGAGCACUUAGUUCUCAAUGCAUUUACACAUAGAAUUCUGUGUCAUUAAAAGGCAGCCUAUGGGGCAAAUUUGGAAGACAAAUCACUUAUAUUUAGGAAAAAUUCACAUGUAUUUUAAGCCCCGAGACAGUGUUACUGAUUGUCUUGUGAUGAAUUUAUCAUUUGCUUUGUUUUGUCCCAGGCUUCAACUAAAUAUCUUGGUUAUUUGACGUGCCUGUAGGUGUUCUUGAGCCUGGUUGUAUCCUCAUGAAGACUAGUGAGAUGAUGAUUUUGGAAAGCGUGAGCAAGAAAAAGGAACGUUUUUAUUCUAUUGUUGGGAUCCCUGGGUGGCGCAGCGGUUUGGCGCCUGCCUUUGGCCCAGGGCGCGAUCCUGGGGAUCCGGGAUCGAAUCCCACAUCGGGCUCCCGGUGCAUGGAGCCUGCUUCUCCCUCGGCCUGUGUCUCUGCCUCUCUCUCUCUCUCUCUCUCUGUGACUAUCAUAAAUAAAUAAAAAUUGAAAAAAAAUAUUUUUAUUGUA
rnacentral:lncRNA from 12 species